AGUCAUAUGCUUGUCUCAAAGAUUAAGCCAUGCAUGUCUAAGUAUAAGCGACUAUACUGUGAAACUGCGAAUGGCUCAUUAAAUCAGUUAUGGUUUAUUUGAUGGUACCUACUACUUGGAUAACCGUAGUAAUUCUAGAGCUAAUACAUGCAGGAAGACCCGACUUCGGAAGGGUUGUAUUUAUUAGAUAAGAAACCAAUCCAGCUUGCUGGUUGCGUGCCGAGUCACAAUAACUGCUCGAAUCGCAUGACUUUACGUCGGCGAUGGUUCAUUCAAAUUUCUGCCCUAUCAGCUUUCGAUGGUAGGAUCGAGGCCUACCAUGGCGUUUACGGGUAACGGAGAAUUAGGGUUCGAUUCCGGAGAGGGAGCCUGAGAAAUGGCUACCACAUCCAAGGAAGGCAGCAGGCGCGUAAAUUGCCCGAAUCCUGACACAGGGAGGUAGUGACAAGAAAUAACGAUACAGGGCUACAUCUAGUCUUGUAAUUGGAAUGAGUACAAUUUACAUCUCUUAACGAUGAUCAAU
rnacentral:rRNA from 1 species